AUUCAUUUUUUCGAAUCCGAAUUAAAAUCUUAUAAUUUUAUCUUUACUCACUAGUAGAAGACACCAAACUAGAGCGAUCAAUCGAUGAAAAAGUCUAAACUUGUCUAAGUAAUUGUUCCCGGCUUACUGGAACCACUAUUAGAUCUUCCAAUAACAUUUUCUUUUGUUUACGUUGAAUCCUUGAAAGUAUAUUCUAUCAACUAUCGGCAGACGGUGCAGUUUUCAACAAAAACCUAAAAACGAAGAAGCAUUAUUGCAAGUACACAUUUUGGUAACUUUUUAGUUAAUAUCUCGGUAUGUUCCUCUCAGGUUUUAACAAAAUCUUCUUCAAAAGUGUCAUUUUCAGGAAGCAGCACCAGGCAGGCAUCAUGAAAACCAGCAGCAUCUCGGUUGAGCAGAGCAACACGUAGAAAAUUAUAAGCCAAAGUAUGGUUCGACGAAAACCCAAGUUUUACGUUACCGUGAACCGAAUUAUUAGCUCGUGCUCAAAAUGGUGUUCAGAGCUUUCUUGAAUUUAUAAAUAUAUUGGGGUGACCAAACUAAAAUAGGCGUGCGAAUUAAUCAAAAAAUCAUCGAACCCGUUGUCGAUGAUUUUUAUUUUGUUCUGGUUCAAAAUGACGCGCGCGUUGCUUCCCAUAUUUUUAAGAUUUUUAAUCGCGUAUUAAAACUUUGAGAACCGACAAAGAAAUUUCGCGAAACCUGCUUGAAAUUCCUCCGAUCAGAAUUAGUGGCCAAUUUUGACUAGCUGCAGUUUCUUGUGUAUUAAGGGACAGGGUAGCACCAUGUCACAAAAAGAUUGCUUGCUGGAGCCCGGCGACCAGUUGCAAUUCAGAACCUGUCAUCAAUCGAUGAGGAGCGCUUUUGGGAUACGUGCUCGGAGGACCCUACCGGAAAGCCAGGGCAUGUACCAGAUUCGACGUUGGGCGUCGUAAUGAGCUCGACGCCGCUGGCUAGUCCGUGUCGUGGAAUUAUCUUUGAUGAAUUUUUAUGCAAAACCACUCUCAUAUCUCUCGUGGAAGAAACGGAAGUACGGCACACGAGGAACCGGAAAUUAAAAUAAUCCGGAACGCACUCGAUUCGAGAGAAUCCUGCUUGGCAAUUUGGUAAAGGAUUGAGCGAAAAUACGAUUGAUGGUUGGAAAUUAGCUGCGAAAUCAAACAACUAGAACCGUACCAACAAAGUCGCUUGCUGCUGCCAAUGGUGCUCUUCAAGUCUACACACGCAGAGAAUCGAGAUGUAUUCCCUAAUCGAAAAGGGUCAUCAUGUAGAUUUUAAGAUGGGCUGGAGGUCCCUGGCAGUUCGAGACAGUAACGUAGAUCUUACGAGAGAGAUCUGGAAAACCGACUCAAAUGUAACAUGAUCGCUAAUUUACGAUCCCCACACGAUGACAUGCCAAUUCGAAAAUUUUUCAGAAAACUCUCCGGCUGGUACAUUGGAGAGCCCGAAGGUGUAAAAAUCCUUUACACCCAGCAAUAUUACUAGUCUCUGAUACCUUCCAUGGACCCACCAGAUGUAUCGGAAAUAACCGAUCGCAAAGAGCUUGGAAGGUGGUCCCCAAUUUUAAACUCUUAGAUUUAUCGAUGGUGCGCCAUAAAUCCUAAAAUUUUCACUUCGUGUGGCUUUGUUGAAGGGAACUUAACACAGUAAGGCACCAGUGACCGACGAGCUGUGUCACUUUACGAGACUUGCCUAGCUGAAAUGCGGAAAUGAUUUCCCCAAAAUUAUCGUUAAGGUGGACUCUUCUGUGACUGGUGUUUGCUGGUGGACUCGAUAUACGAUUACUGCACCCAGCAUCACAUCUACAAAUGAACUUUUUCAUUUUUUACAAAAAAAAAACAAACCAAAUUAAUUUUGAAAUAAGACUGUUUUAGUAAAUAUAUGAUGUAAAUUGAAACAAAAAUUGAUUCAUUGAACAGUGACUUCUAAUUCUAUUAAAGCAAAUAAAAUCAAUGCAAUUACAUGUCUACAGCGUCUUACAGCGUUUUGAAAUUACAGGCCUGGGAUUUUUACAGGUUAGUGAAUUUUAAAGGCACACUGAAAAAUAAAUGUCAUC